UGGGGAAUAUUGGACAAUGGAGGGAACUCUGAUCCAGCAAUUCUGUGUGUGUGAAGAAGGUUUUAGGACUGUAAAACACUUUUAGUAGGGAAGAAAAAAAUGACGGUACCUACAGAAGAAGCAACGUCUAAAUAUGUGCCAGCAGCCGCGGUAAUACGUAUGUUGCGAGCGUUAUCCGGAAUUAUUGGGCUUAAAGGGCAUCUAGGCGGUAAGACAAGUUGAAGGUGAAAACCUGUGGCUCAACCAUAGGCUUGCCUACAAAACUGUUGAACUAGAGUACUGGAAAGGUGGGUGGAACUACACGAGUAGAGGUGAAAUUCGUAGAUAUGUGUAGGAAUGCCGAUGAUGAAGAUAACUCACUGGACAGAAACUGACGCUGAAGUGCGAAAGCUAGGGGAGCAAACAGG
rnacentral:rRNA from 1 species